rnacentral:lncRNA from 1 species
AAACUUUUUCAUUUUGUUGAUGGUUUCCUUUGCUGUGCUGAAACUUUUUAGUUUGAUAUAGUCCCACAUACUCAGUUUUGCUUUUUUGUUGCUUGUGCUUUUGGUGUCAUAUCCAAAAAAUUGUUGCCAAACAACAUGGAUGGACCUUGAGGGUAUGAUGUUAAGCGAAAUAAGCCAGACAAAGAAAGACAAAUACUGCAUGAUUUCACUCACAUGUCCAACAUAACAAAUACAUGGAUAAAGAGAACAGAUUAGUGGUUACUGGAGGGGAAGGGGGUUGGGGGUUGGGCAAAAGGGACAAAGGGGCACAUGUGUAUGGCGAUGGAUAAAAAUUAGACUACUGGAAGUGAGCAUGAUGAAGUGUAUUCAGGAAUUGAUAAACAAUAAUGUACACCCGAAACUAUACAAUGUUAUAAACCAUUAUAAUCCCAAUAAAAUUACUUGGAAAAAAAAUUGUUGCAAAGGCCAAUGUGAAAGAGGUUUUUUCCCUAUGUUUUCUUCUGGUAGUUUUAUAGUUUUGGGUCUUACAUUAAAGUCUUUAAACCUUUUUAAUUUUUAUGAGUGGUAUAAGAUAGGGUCCAAUUUCAUUCUUCUGCAUGUGGUUAUGCAGUUUCCCAACAUCAUUUAUUGAAAAGACUAUCCUUUGCCCAGUGAGUAUUCUUGGCUCCCUUGUCAAAUAUUGAUUGAUCGUAUACGUGUGGGUUUAUUUCUGGGCUUGAGUCUGCUCCAUUGGUCAGUGUGCCUGUUUUAUGACAGUGCCAUACUGUUUUGAUUACUAUUGUUUUAGUGAUGCCUCAAGCUUUGUUCUUUCUCAGGAUUGCUUUUGCUAUUUAGGGUUUUUGUGGUUCCACAUGAAUUUUAGGGUUGUUUUUCUAUUUCUGUGAAAAAUGCCAUUGGAAUUUUGAUAAGGAUUGCAUUGAAUCUAUAGAUGGUAAAAUAAUGUUUUUAUGAUGUGAUUAAAACCUAUUACAGGCUACUAAGAAGCAGUGGAAACUGUGGUACUUAAUCUUCAGAGAAUAAGCUUAUGAUCAAUGUUGGCCCUAGCCUCCUGCAAGAUUAGACAUUUUUGGCUCAGUUCUACACUGCCCACGAUUCCUCCAGAAUUGCAGUUGGUUAUUUCCAC